UUCCAGCUGACGAGUCUCAAAUAGGACGAAACCCGCAUACUGGAU
rnacentral:hammerhead_ribozyme from 1 species